CUCUAUUUAGUACAAUGAAUAGUAUACCUUACUUCCAAUAAGGAGAUCCUAAAGGAAUAGAGA
rnacentral:tRNA from 1 species